AAUGUACUCCCUUCGUUUGGAAUUACUUGUCGUAGAAAUGGAUGUAUCUAGAUGUAUUUUAGUUCUAGAUACAUCCAUUUUCGAGACAAGUAAUUCCGAACGGAGGAAGUAACUG
rnacentral:pre_miRNA from 1 species